AACAGCGUGACGUGGGGGUACCGAGAUCUGCGGGAGCAGCGGUCCCGGCUUCAGUUCUAGCCUACCCGGCAGCCUGGACGGGAGCAAGGCGAGAGGUGCUGCCGCCUCCCGUCGCCCCUGCGCUCAGAGGUCCCGAACCAGCCCAGCCGCUGCCUCUUGCCGCUCCGCCUUUGGAGUGAGGAGGGCGUAGCCCGCGUCAGAACUUAGAGGGCCAGGCAGGGUCGCGCGCAUGGCCUGGGCGGGCUCGCGGCGGGUCCCAGCUGGGACGCGCGCGGCAGCCGAGCGCUGCUGCCGGCUCUCGCUCAGCCCGGGCGCGCAACCGGCCCCGCCCCCAGGCCCUCUGCCACCGCCGCGACCAAUGAGGUUUCUGACCUCCUACAGCCUCCUCUUGCCUCGGGCUGCCCAGAUCUUGGCGGCUGAGGCUGGCUUACCUUCGAGCCGUUCCUUCAUGGGAUUUGCUGCUCCCUUCACCAACAAGCGAAAGGCUUACUCGGAGCGUAGAAUCAUGGGGUAAGCAUUCUCUGCCUUGCAUCCUUGCACUUCCCCUUUCCCUCCAAAUAACCCUGUCCAGGCAAGAAUGUCAGGGUAUCAUCGGUGGGCAAGAUUCAUCCCUAGCCAUCCCCCUCCCCAGCUACAAUACUGAUCCUCAGUCCU
rnacentral:sRNA from 1 species